rnacentral:tRNA from 1 species
GGGCACAUGGUGUAGUUGGUUUAUCACGCCCGCUUAGCAUAAGGUGCACCGAAGUUCUUCCGUGCGGGAGGUGUUGGGUUCAAUUCCCAAUGUGUCCA